CAACGAGCUAGAGUUUGACUCGUGGCUCGAGAGACGCUGGCGGCGUGCCUAACACAUGCAAGUCGAACGAAGCUUGAAGUUUGAACCCUUCGGGGGGAAAACGGAUAUGACUGAGUGGCGGACGGGUGAGUAACGCGUGAGGAACCUGCCUUACAGAGGGGGACAACAGAGGGAAACUUCUGCUAAUACCGCAUAACAUAUCGGGAUCGCAUGAUCCGGAUAUCAAAGAUUAUAUCGCUGUAAGAUGGCCUCGCGUCCGAUUAGAUAGUUGGCGGGGUAACGGCCCACCAAGUCGACGAUCGGUAGCCGGACUGAGAGGUUGAACGGCCACAUUGGGACUGAGACACGGCCCAGACUCCUACGGGAGGCAGCAGUGGGGGAUAUUGCACAAUGGGCGCAAGCCUGAUGCAGCAACGCCGCGUGAGGGAAGAAGGUCUUCGGAUUGUAAACCUUUGUUUUCGUGACGAAAGAAAUGACGGUAGCGAAAGAGGAAGCUCCGGCUAACUACGUGCC
rnacentral:rRNA from 1 species